CUACGGGGUGCAGCAGUGGGGAAUAUUGGGCAAUGGGCGCAAGCCUGACCCAGCAACGCCGCGUGAGGGAAGAAGGUUUUCGGAUUGUAAACCUCUGUCCUUGGGGACGAAGAAGUGACGGUACCCAAGGAGGAAGCUCCGGCUAACUACGUGCCAGCAGCCGCGGUAAUACGUAGGGAGCAAGCGUUGUCCGGAAUUACUGGGCGUAAAGGGUGCGUAGGCGGCAUAUUAAGUCAGGUGUGAAAUACUCGGGCUCAACCCGGGGGCUGCAUUUGAAACUGAUAUGCUUGAGUGUGAGAGAGGAAAGUGGAAUUCCUAGUGUAGCGGUGGAAUGCGUAGAUAUUAGGAGGAACACCAGUGGCGAAGGCGACUUUCUGGCUCAUAACUGACGCUGAGGCACGAAAGCGUGGGGAGCAAACAGGAUUAGAUACCCGGGUAGUG
rnacentral:rRNA from 1 species